CAGAUUCCAAGUGUGCGUCCACACCAGUGCCAUUUGCAUCGUCUAUCUCAAUCCGCCCAUCUUUUCAGCUCCCCACUACGGUCCAUUUCCAGCUAACAGAGAAGAAUUGGCACACCGGAAUCGGAUGCACAGGUCAACAAUGAUGAUGAAACUGAGGUAACAUGAAAUCGAACAUAUCAACUGUUCAACUGCCGAAAAAAAGGGAGAUUCUUGUCAGCUGGAACAUGGUGAGGGAGGUGAGAGAGAGGAGGAAGAAACCUCGAAGUCCAAGAAACUAAUGGGCUGUUGAUCACUUCCUUUUCGUUCAACAGUAGCCAGCAAAUAUUGCUGCCGUCUCCGACAUAUGGGGCUCGACUAUUUGGAUAAGCUCGACAUGGUACCACCAUGAACUGCGGUUACUUCAUCUUCCCCGUUCCCGAAAUGGCUCCGAAAUGGCAUCCAUUUAAACCAAGUUAUUGCAUUGACUACUGUACACAAAUAACUUGAUGCUGUUUCGUCUUCUUCUUCAGGUGGAGAUAUUUAUUGCCUGCCGAUUCAAUUACAUGCCUUUCCGGCCCAUGAAGAGGCCUCGCCGAAGAAGUGGGGAAACUACGGUAGCAUAUUCCAAAAGAGAGAGGAAAAGCUUUUCUUACACGUCUACGACUCGGUAGUCUCACUAAACCAUGGAGUGAUAGAGAAAACUCAGCUGUUGUGACGUGAUUAAAAGACACCACAAUACAGUGUAUGUACGUUUCCCAACAACUGACUGCUCUUUGAUGGUGACGCGAGAGAUGCAAACUUGCGCACCAUCUGUUUGACGUUAUUCAUCUCGGGAUCUCGUUUUCUUUUGUUUUCUGCUUCAUGUGGUGGGGUAGGUUACAGUGGGCCGAACAGGCAAGCGCCGAGUAUCUCGUGGCCGUGUGGUUUGCCUUUGAGAGAGAGUGUGAAGCUGAUGGCUUUGGACUGAGCUUUCUCUGCAGUUGGGGAAGAGUUAUCGGCACCGAUGGCCAUUCAAGAGACUGAUGGAGUGCCAAACUGUUGCUGUCUCGACGCCCUCGAUUAGAAGUUGGCACAGCUCGAUCUUGACCCGAAGGUGUGAAGUCGUUCGAUAACCCUCGUGAUGGGUGAGCGAUACGAUCGCUAUGGGGAAUAAGGUGGCCGAAGUGGAUCUGAAGUGAUCUUUAUGCAUCCGAUAUGGGCUCCGGUCUCCUCGGGGAUCUUGCACAAAAGUCAAUGUCAAAAAGAGGAUUUCUUAAUUUGACCCUUUCGACGAUUAAAUUAGCUCUUCGUAAAGUAAGGGAAUGAGAGGUUUCAGAGUGAGAGGGUCCUACCUCUGAGCAGGCUGUCACGGUCUUAGCUGAAAUUGCCUAAGGAGUGAGGUACCCUUGCGGCCAAGACGCAAACUUAGCUUGCGUUACCUAAGUCGCGCUUCGCCCUUGCGAUAUUGCUCCGCAAAGAUCAACCAACUUGUAACCUCUCGUAGGUCCCGAAGGACCUGUAAAAGAGAAAGUUGAUUAGUUCGAAAGAACGAGCGACGGACAAGUUCCGACGUCUCGCAAAAAGAGGGGAAGCUUUACAAGCAAUUCAGCGAGCACCUUGCGUGCACAAGAGAAAAGAGGGAGAGGGGGAAAACAAGGGCUUUAGAAGGUUGAACGAACAGCUGCAAGCCCACAAACAACUGCUCACCGAGUCCCGAGCGCGACAACAAGUUCCUGUCAAGGCAACGUGCGAACUUGCGAAUGAGUGUUCAACGCCCGGUACUAUACCGAAGCCCCAUCUAGCCCUGUGCCACCCGGGGGGUUCAAAGGGGCUGGGAUGGCUGACGUUUUGGUGAGUGGAGGCAGAUUCCAGAAAUCAGCCCGUGGCACACGAAAACGGAGCUGUUUUGGGGUUGUUUUGCUCUGUUCGGUGAGCGGUCGCUUUGUAACGCUGCAGUUUGUUCGAACUUACAUUUUUACAAGCAAAAUGACUCAAAACCAAGGCAAAACAGGCUGCCAAGUAACUGUACAUGUAGACGAGAGCGACAAACGAUUCGUUAAACGGAGUUGAUGCGGGUGCACGACGACCGUUCGUGACAAAGCGUUAGGGACAGGUUUUUAUGCUUGGGCAAUCAAGGGGGUUCACCCAUGAUUGUCCAAACGUUCUUUCCUUUGUUGUUCAUUUAUGUGGAUGGCUAGUUCGUACGAUCCCUCAUGGCCUAUUGUCCACAGAGACUAACAAAAGGGGAGGGGCAGCUUGUCAGCCCUGGUGACCAAUAAGGUCGACUCGAGCGACUACCUAUAGGUUGUCGUCCGUAGAGGCCGAUAGGACGGGGGCGCCGAUCUGUUCAGCUGCCCGGGGACCACUGCCCCCUGCGGCUGCCAGGGUCGACCCGUAGCCGACAGACUGUCACCCCUGCUGCCAGACAAGGUGAUAACUUGUCCUUCAUCCACCACAUCAGCUACUUCGUGACGAUCGACCAGCUGGCAGGCUUUGAUCAGUGCCAGAAUAUCACAAACUAACAACAGUCGAGCAUCAAUCUAAUUCAUGUAGUCUCUUUUGUCUGGUCUUGAUGCAAAGAUCUCUCUGUCUCAUUCCAGUUAUAGCAUUUCAAUUGUGCUUCAUCACUAAGAGUUGUGGCAAGUUCAGUGCUGAUAGACAUGCCAACUAAACACAAGAUCUUAGAAAGUGGUGUUCACAUCCUUGUUAGAUACUACAUAAAACAAUCAAACUCUGUUAUUAGUUCCUCCAUCUCUGUUCGAGAACAAUGGAGAGGUUGUCGACAUUUCUUGAAAGAAAAGAAGAUGACUCUCGAGGGACUUGGAAUGGAAGAUGCAAUGAGGCACCAACAAGUAUUUUUCUGUAUGAUUUUGUAAUCACAUAAAACCCAAGGAGAUUAGAGAAAUAAAACCCUAUACAGAGUACGUCGGCGAUGCACUCAGAACCAAUUAGUCGAAGCUUGAUGAAUGGCUACAUCUCCACUGCAAGUAGUUCUCCGCAGAGGCGCUCGAGGUUAGAGAAUCGGAUGUGUGAUCGGUGCUGCUGAUCGAGUUCAAGUCGUCCUUCACAUCCAGUAAUGCAAGAUUGAGAUGGGAUUGGAUGUCCGAUUCUUGGUUUGGCAUUUCAUCAUCUAACAUGUCAGCCCGAGCGUUAACUUCUGACCGUGCCCAUUCAACAGUAUCAUCGUCUCCUUGGAGUAGCUUCAAAACCUGUGGUUGAAGAUGGUUCACGACAAAAGGUAAAAAGGCAAAGGCAGUCGGAAUGUUAAGGAGCUUCAAUAUCCUAUUCGGAAUUGGCUUCAAGGCCAUGACUAAAACCCUCUACUCUUUCUCCAUGUAGGUUUAUGAAGAUGACUAGUUGCAGUACCUCUCGAAGCCCCCAGUUUUGUGCUACUUGAGACGGUAUGAUAGAACUUAUCAAGAAGAUUUGUAUAUUGAGCAGAAAAUAAGAUCUUACAAGGGCUAUAUGAGGUCGUGCAUGAUGAAGCCUCCUUGCACAAAGUGAAGCAGCUAGGAUCAUCCUUUCUACUUGAUCACUACUAAAUUCAUUCUUUAAGCCUGGAUCAAUCAGCUGCUUUGUGUCUCCAUCUUGUAAGAUUGGCUUAGCCUGCAAUUACAUGGGGUAUAAGAAUAAGAAAAAGGGUGUUGGACUAGUGACACAAAAGAUCAAGCAAUCCUACAAUGUAAAUGCACAUUCAAAAUUUUUAAACCUCAUUCAUUUAUUUAGGAAAGCAAAACCGAUGGAGAACUUACCCACAUGAGGAGGCUCUCUUGGCCCUUGGGACAACCAGAACUGAUGGGCUUCCUUCCUGAGAGGAGCUCGAGAAGCACAACGCCGAAGGCAUAGACAUCAACCUUCUCAUUAACUUUCCCAUACAAAAUGUAUUCGGGAGCUAAGUACCUGUCAUCGGGUGUUCUAUCUUAGAAAAAUGUUAUGAUCUAACAUUCAGAAAAUAAAUUUGUCUUCUUUCUACAGAAAGAACACCAACCCGAAAGUCCCUGCAACAUCGCUGCAAAUCAGUUGAGAUGAUGCUGAUGCCCAUUUCGCCAAUCCAAAGUCAGACAACUGAAACUCGCAAAAGAUGAAAAAUGUCAUGUGCAUACACAAAAUACUAAAUACUAUAUAAGAAAUGCAUUGUGAAAAAAUACAACACCUGUGGCUCAAAAUCGUCGGAGAGAAGGAUGUUUGAGGACUUCACAUCCCUGUGAAUCACGGGCUCAGUAGUACCACCCCCAUGUAAAUAAUCAAGUGCCUCCGCAACACCUAUUGCCACCUUAUAUCUUUCAGCCCAACCGAGAACAUGCUUGUUCACUUCCUCACCUAACAAAAAGAAAACGGAAAAAGGAAUAAGAUAUGUGAUUUAGAGAAAGUGAAGCAAAUCAAGGACGAAAAUAAGCAAUUAAUGGGUGUCAAAUGCAUACCAUGGAGGAUUUCUUCUAAGCUACCUCGUGAUAGAUAGUCAUAGACCAACAUUAGACUAUUAUUCUGGAAGCAAAAUCCAAGCAAUGCAAUAAUGUUUUUGUGAUGCAAGGUGGUGAUAAUCUCAAUCUCUGAAACAAAGUCUUUCACUGCAUCUUCAGAUGGCUUCAAUAUUUUCACAGCCAAUUCCUUGCCAUCGGAAAGGCAGCCCUUAUAAACACUGCUACUCCCGCCCUUUCCAAUCAAAUUCUCUGCAUUGCAAAUUCGACUAACAUUAGAAAUGUUCAUGAAUUGACGAUAAAUUAUAUGCAUGACAAAUUUUAGGAAACAACCAUGCAGAAAGUUGGACGUUGCUUGCUCGAGUUCCUCGUAGCUGAAUAAUCUGCAAACAGAUGAAAACUUCUUUCGAAAAGACUCCAACUCCUCGGGCAGCCUCCCUUCUGCAUCACUGGGAAGAAAAGGGGUUGGUGGCAGAUCGGCCCCAACUGGCACAAUGGCUCCGCUCUCUUGGUCUAGGUUGAGUGUCGUAUUUCCUACCGACUUCUUGGACUUGCGAUCAGGAUGCACAGACGAGUAUCGGCUCGGUAGCCACUUUGCCCAUUGAACCACAGAGGCCUUGUGCUUCUCCGAGCAGAGGCUCUUCCUGUUGGUUAAGACUAGCCUUCUAAGAGAAGGCCAACCAGGUCUGGCUUCAGGUAAAUCCUUGACGACUGUAAGUGCAGUGCUGCUCGUGGGAGCUUCAGUUUUCUCCACUGGGACCAAGACCAAUGACUCUUCCUCCUUCAGCUCGUUCAGGGAAGAAGGAUCAGAUUCAGGUGCACAGAUUGAACAAUUGCUUCUUGGUGAGCCAUUGCCGGCAGAUAAGCCAUUCGCGGCGUGGGAAAUGAUACAACCAUUCAGCUCAGCUUCUGGUGGAAACGAAGGAUCGGAGGCUGUAUCGGUCAGCUUCUUCGGGCCUACAAUGGGGAACAAGCAGAACAAAUCGUUUUUCUCGUCAACCUCAGUUGGAUCAUUACUUGACUUCUUCUGAGAUCUGUUGUUAUCUGUUAACAGUACUAAGCUCUAAGAACAUAACACAGAACCUAAUGGACACCGGCAACAAACCAACCUGCUGCUUCUCUCUGGAAGACGAUCUUCCCGUCGCUCAAUGCCACCACCGAACAGUCGUUUGGUAGCUUCUUGGCGCAGUGCUUAGCUAUGGAGACCCAAGAAGACCUAACAGAGGACAAAAAGAGUCUCAAAGAGAGUUUUUGGGCACGAGGAGAAGCAAGCAAAGAACUCAAACUAGGCACAGACUCACCCGAUGGCGCGGCUGUUCUUGGUGACCCCGAGGAUGAGCAGUGACGCAGCGAAGGCUUUGGCCUCUUUUACCAGAACCUUGCGUAUGGACGAGCCCUUGCAAAUUUUCAGCUUUAGGUCGAUCUGCCAAAGCAAUCGAUGAGGAGCAGAAUGCAAAUGGGGGGAAAGGUCGGAUUAUGAGGUCGAGGGGAAGCGACCUGCUUUAGGUUGCAGAAGCCCUCGUAGACGGCGAGCAUAGCGUCGAGUUCCUUGGCGACAGAGAACACGGCGACGGGCUGGCCACCAGGAUCCUUGGCCGCUGCGGCACUACCACCGCCGGAGGAUGAUAGGACGUGAAGGGCGACGACAAGGUCCCCGGAGGCGGCGGCCUUGACUAGCGCCCAAGUGAGAAGUUCUCGGCUCUGCGAGUCCAUUCUAACGCCAACCACCACGGUCUUCCCUCCUCCUCCUCCUCCUCUCUCCGCUGCCUUCUCCUCCUGCUCCUCCUCCACAAAGGUCUCAUCUUUCUUGCUCCUCUUCUUCUUCUCAGCAGCUUCUUCUUUCGCCAUCUUCAUGCCUUGUGUCUUCUGCCGCUGCGGUCUCCGGUGAUCUCUAUCCGCCUCCUCCUCUCCUUCUUCCCAGUGUGGAGUGGGAGAACCAGAAUGAGACGGCAAAGCUUCAAUUCCCCAUCACCUGCAGUCUUCCAUGCAAUUCUCUCGCUGUGUUCGUGGCUUGUCCUUCUCCGUUCAAGCAGGCGGUGAACACACAAAAAGCUAGAAAAUGGCAGGAUUUAAUUGCAGCUUCUUUUUGUUGCCAUAAUGGAAAUUAUUCAUAUAAUCUCCUUCCCACAAAUAUUUUAUGCAAAGAAAAAUUCAAAUAAAUUCACAUGGAAGUGCUGAAAAUUAUAUUUAUAUAUGAUUAAAUCAAUUCAAGACAUUUUUCACUCUCAUGAUAGAAUAAUUAUGAAAAUAAAUUAUAUUAUUAAAAGCUUAAUAGAUAAGAGUUUAUAGCAAUAUUGGGUUUGUUAUUAGGAGGCGUUUUCUUUUCUACUAAGCUUUAUGUUGUAAUGGUAACCACUAAGAAGUGAAAGGGAUAUAAGUAACGUAAGAUUUGCUUGUGUUACAAGUCAUUAAGUUAGUCAACCCUUUCUAUCUUCUAAUGGGUAAUUGACAUGGUCAAAUGAUAAAGUAUAUCUAAACUUAAUAUACUUUUUAUUUAUUUAUUUAUUAGGAGAAUCCAAGUAAACUUUUACAAAUCCUAUUUUCAUUUGGAAAAUAUAAGAGCAAAAUAACAAAUCUAUUGAUAUUAAUAGAAUAAUGUGCCAUAAUACUUAUAAAGCAAUAUCAUAAACAAUAUAUAACCCCAACAUGCAUAUAUACAUUUUGAUUGGCAUCACUGCUAAUAGAGAUUAGCUUAAGGUUGAAGGUGAGAGGUAGCUCUCAAACUAUUGCAUGUGAACUUAUGUUUCUUGAUUACUUUUUCCUCUCCCAUCUUUUAUUAAUUCUUGGUCAAUAUUUUAUUUCAUUACUAACCUUCCAUUCAGUUGGAAGUAGGAAUAUGUCUUUAUCAUUUGCUUUAUGAUCUAUUUAAAGAAUUGCAAAUCCCAAUAACAAAUGAAGUUUAGAUGUUAACUCCAAAAAAAAAAAAUCACUUCUUAUCAAUAACUAAUUUUUUUUUUUAUCAAUUAAUAUUUUUAAAUUGUAAGAUUUUAUUAUUAAGGUCAAAAUUUUAGAAUAAAAAUAAAUAAUUCAUGAUGAUGACAAUAGUUAAGUUCUUCAUUAGCUACAUUAACAACUUACACAUUAUGAAAAAUAUAAAAUGAGGAAGGUGGAAUUCUUUGAAUAAGCACAUGAAUCAGUCUUCCUUGGGAUUGCUUGCAAAGACUACUAAGUCCCAACCAUCCAUCAAUAGCUAACAGUACCCACUCAAAUGUUGACUGCACAUGACAAAUAGAGGGAUUCAUGAUGAUGGUAGAAAGAUUUUAGCUUGUAGAUAAAUGUCUGUGGCAAAAUGAGACAACAGUGAAGACAUCAGAAAAAAUGUUAUCCAUGUGCAAGCUUCAAGUAUUAUUAUUAUUAUUAUUAUUAUUUUUCUUGGAGGUCAGACAGGGUGAUGUCUUCAUCAAGGUGAGUAGGUAGUGGAGGCUUGAUGCAUUAAGUCCUAAGAGAAUUAAACAAGUGUCUCAUCAAUGGCACCACAUGGGGUCCUGCUCUUUAAAAAGCUGGAAGAAGCAUCUGCUGAAAUGCUUGUCAUGUGGAUCCUAACUUUUAACCUGGUUUUGAUGGCUUGUUGCAAGGAUGAAGCACUGUGUGUGUGUCAAUUUUGUUUCUGUGAUUGCACAUUGCUCAUGUUUUGAGAACAGAAAUGGUCAGAGAUGAUGGCUUGUUGCAAGGAUUGAAGCACUGUGUGUGUGUGUGUCAAUUUUGUUCCUGUGAUUGCACAUUGCUCAUGUUUUGAGAACAGAAAUGGUCAGAGAGAUGAUGAACAUUUAGGUAUGAGGAGAAAGACUUGCAUGAAAAUUAUACUUUUUUAUUUUUGAAGUUAGAAAUGUGUGGAGUGUUUGUUCUUAUUGGUUUGGACAUGAAUACUGUAGUGAGAAUGAUAACCUGGGAACAUGUUACUGCUGGGAAUAUGAUCAGGGAGAUGAAAGAAGAGAGCAGCUCAUCAAAAGAGAGACAGCUUGGAGACAGUAUCUGAUAUAUCAAUUGCAGAUAACUCAGUCUGAAAUUUCUAUCAGUUUUAUUUGACUGUGAAACCUCACUUUUAAGACACAUUUUCUACAGUAGAACAAAUCCUUUUGAGGUGUUCCUUGCAUUGCUCUUAGAUAGAGAGAGAUGGAGAGACCACUUUGAGAUGGUGGCUUGGCAAGAUAGAGAGAUAGAGAGAGAUUUAAAGCUUGAUCAACAUCAAAAGAAACUGGAAUGAAAAUGCUAAUCAUUGCUCAUCAAUGCACCUGCAACCAAAGUGGAAGUUGUCUGUGGAGCAUAUCAUCAUGCCAAAAGCUGAGUUCUUGAUGGAAGAUGACAAAAGGUUUUGGAAUAACACAAGAAGAACAAAUCUUUUGAUUAAAAUUUUGAAUAUUUGUUUAGUAGUUGAGAAAUAUACUAAUAUAUUUAUAAGUAUUAACAUCUCCUCUCAUAUGCAAGCUUAUUGUCUAAAUAUGCUUAAUUAAAAACUAAUAAAAUAAAGAGGAAAAAAUAUAAAAUUUAUACUCUCAAAAAACUUAGUUGGACUGUAUAUAUCAAAAACAUAAGUUGUUUGGACUGUAUAUGUUUCAAUAUAUCUCAUUACAUAUAUGUAUAUAUAUAUAUAUGCAUAUAUAUAUACAUAUAUAUAUGUUUAUGUAUAUGUAUAUAUAUAACACAUUACAUCAUUAUUUUGGUUAAAUCGGCUAAAGAAAAUUUGAUUGUGUCCAUCUGUUUAAAAAAAAAAAAAAUUGAUCAUUUUCCUAUCCACAUAAAAUCAAAUGUAAAUAUCAUGACAAAAUUGGCUAAGAAAUUAAUUUUCCUACUAUCUAUCCAUUAAAUAAUUAUAGAAUUAAAGAAAAUUGAUGCAUGUGAAAAGUAAUUAUAUUUAAAAUAAAAAAUAUAUUAAACUUGUUAGCGUAUACUUUGAUUAUCCAAUUUAGAUAUAGAUUUAGACAUAAUCCUUUCAUAUUUGUUACGAUUCAAUUUUGAUCGAACUCAUCUGAUUUCGAGGAGACUGAACCCUAUCAAUUUCGAAGAGGUUGAACCCUAUAGAACUAAGUCGAGGGUAUUUCUAACAAAUAUCUUUCCGAUGCUAAAAUUAGUUUUAGGUUUAGAGGAUUUGACUAAUAACUUGAAGAACAAAAAGAUAUCUUUGAACUGUUGCUCCAGUGAUCGACAUCAAUUACAAGCGAUAAUUAUUGAGAUAUCGAUCAUCCAUCGAUUACAUAUCGAUUAUGUGUCGAUCACAUAUUAGUCGUGUGCCAAGAAUUAGAUGGUACUGAGAUGACAACCACGUAACAUUGAUGUAUUACCAUGUAAUGUUAAUAUAGUAGUCACUUAAUAUCAAAACCAAAAAGACUUCCUUGCUCAUGUUUUCUUCUUUUCCUCCAUCCUGAAAGAUCUAAAGAGAGAACACAAACAUACUCAACCUACAAAGAGAAGCAAAAAUAAAGAGGGAAAGUGAGACCGGGCAAGAAAAUUCCAAGUUUUCCUCUCUCAAAUUCUAAGUCUCCUAAGUAGAUAGAUGCAACUUUCUCUCUUAUUGCAAUUGCGUGUAAGUAGGAAUUCAUCAAGUUGUAAUUUUGCUACUUAUUGCUAAAUUGCAAUAAGUAGGAUUAUACUUGUUGGAUCAGAAACACCUCCACACAUUAUUCUAACUCUACACGUCAUUUCUAUUCUCAUUCCCAUCAAAAACCAAUAAAAGAAUAAAAUAUAUUUUCAAAAAUAAAAUAUUUUUUGAAAAUUAUAAUCCAUUUUUAGAUUUUUCUAUAAACCGAUAAACUAGUCUAGUUUUAGGGUUUUUACAUCAUGUUAUAAUAUUUUCAGUAACAUAAAAAAAAUAUAAUUGAUUCAUCCUAUGAUCAGUUUAUAGAAAAAAAAUAUAAGUAAAUUAUUAGAUAAUUCUAAAAAUUGAGAUAUUUAUCGAGAAAAAAUGAAUAAAAUAAUUGGAAUUAUUGAUCUAAUAAUAGUCCAUCAUGUGGCAUUUCUUUGCAUGGAAUCAAUGCAUACUCCCAAUCUAUCCACGUUUGAUACGUCAAGCAUCAAAACAAUGAAUGGGAUUCAACUCCAAUCGUCUGAGGAGAGAAAUGGAUUCGUCCUCGAAACACCAUAUCAAAGAUCAAAGAACAGAAAUUACACCAAUCCGAUCCAUCAGCUCCCGUUCGUGACGGGGUAUCCGAUUCCAUGCCUUCGAGUGGGGAAGACCACGAACAACAGGCUGGAGAUGACUCCCACUCCCAGCGGCAGGACGCUCAGCGCCUCCUCCGUCUCCCGGCUCGGCCGCGGGUAGAGGCAGCUCACCGCGUUCCGGUCCCGGAGAGCCACCGACGCGAACACCAGCACCGACAGCACCGCGUGCACCCAGUCCACCGCCCGCACCCUGUACUUGGACAGGUCGGGAAGGGCCGCGGAGGGGGAGGCGACGUAGUCGUAGUUGAAGAGCCACAUGCCGCGUCGGGUGGCGAAGCCGUAGUAGACCCGCCCGUCGGCGGCGCUCCGGAUGCUGUCGGUGAAGCAGGCGAGGAAGCAGGAGGCGGCCAGGAGGAGGAGGAGCGCCUGCGUCAUCAGCCGGGUGGCCGUGUCGCAGGAGCCGUUGUUGGUGAACACCGGGGUGAGGAGCUGGAAAGCGAGGAGGGUGCCGGUGGGGAGGAGGUUGGCCAGGUGAGCUGUGCUCGCCAGCGCCUGCGUUAUGGCUUGUUGAGACGAGGAAGCGGGUGGUGGAGGUGGCGCUGCCUCUUCCUCAUGCCUUGGAGCCUUGCUUUCUGCUGGUGGUUCCUUGGAUCUUUUCGAUGUGGCUCUCAGCGACAUCUCGAUCCGAGAGCGAGAGAGAGAGAGAGAGAAGGAGAGAGAGAGAGGGGUUUCCCGGUCUUGCACGCUCGUGGUUUCUUCUAGGCCUUAUCGGUCUGCGGCAGGUUUCGGUGGUAGAUUACUAUUGGGUGUGAUGUUGGACCGGGUUGCCUUGAAAGCGAAGACAUUGACUUGGUCAACUAUAGCGGUUUGGGUUAACGGGUCCGGGUUCAACCCGACACCCAAACGUUGGUGGAAACGAAUCCACCAAGGAUUUAAAGCCUAUCGAGUUGCCCGAGCCUUCCAUGGCCGUCGGAGGAAUCGCUUGGCGACCCAAAUGCCGCGCCGUCCUCCACCUGAGCUGCCGCCGGUCCACCUUCUCCACCUCGGACGCCCUCGUCGACGACAUUUGCCGUAUCCUCAGCGACCACCGUGCGCCCCACCACGACCUCGCCGCGGCGCUCCGCCCCUUCGCCCCCGCCCUCACCCCUGGCGUCGCCGAGGGGGUUCUUAUACGUUGCCGCCACCUCCCUUCCCCCGCCCACCGCUUCUUCCUCUGGUCCGCCGCCAUCCCUGGCUUCCACCACUCCCCAGCCGCCCACCUCGCUCUCGUUCAUGCCCUCGGCGCCGCCCGCCAGUUCCCCCUCCUCUGGUCCCUGCUUUCCGAGCUCCGCGACGCUGGUCGUGGCAGCGACGUUGCCCGACCCGAGACAUUCUGGCUCCUCUUCCGCUUUUACGCGCGCGCCAGCCUCCCCGACGACGCCAUCCGUGCUUUCAGAAGGAUGCCCGACUUCGGCAUCCAGCCGGGCCUCGAGGACUUCCAUCAUCUCCUCUCCUCGCUCUGUCGAAACGGUCUCGUUGCGGCCGCUCAGUCAUUCUUCGAUCAGUCAAAGUCCCUCUUUAAUGUGAAUCACAAGACGUUUAGCAUUUUGAUCAACGGCUGGGGCGAUGGUGGGGGUCCGAAAGAAGCCCUUAGGCUGUUCGACGAAAUGCUUCAUAGAAGAUGCUUGGUGGAUGUGGCCGCUUACAACUCCCUGAUCUUAACCCUCUGCCAAGGAGGUGAGCUCGGUGAGGCGCACGUCCAGUUGCAGGAGAUGCAAAAGACUCACAGGCUCAAGCCAGAUGCGGGCACCUAUGCUGCUUUCGUCCGAGCUGCAUGCAAGGCCAAUGAUGUGCAUGCCGCCGUAGGGGUGCUCGACAGAAUUCGAAGGCAUAACCUUGUGCCGAAUGUUUUCACCUACAACUGCAUCAUUCGGCUUUUCUGUGGAAAUGAGAUGGUGGACGAAGCUUAUGAGUUGCUAGAUGAAAUGAUCGAGCGAGGUGCGAAGCCUGAUGCUUGGAGCUAUAACUCGAUACUGGCAAUUCAUUGUAGGUUGCAUGAGGUCAAUAAGUCGCUAAGACUGCUAGCAAGGAUGGACAAGGAUGCCUGCUCACCUGACCGACACACAUAUAAUAUGUUGUUGAAGAUGUUAAUUGGUGUCGGAAGAAUAGACCGAGCAAUGGAAGUUUGGGAUGGGAUGCAGAGGAGAGGGUUUUACCCUGCGGCCUCAUCAUAUGCGGUAAUGAUCCAUGGAUUGUGUAAGAAGAAGGGGAAGGUCGAGGAAGCAUUCCGGUACUUUGAGAUGAUGGUUGAUGAGGGAAUUCCUCCAUAUCUUAGUACUUGCGAGAUGCUAAGGGAUAAAUUGUUUGAGAUCGGAUUGAGAGAACAAGUUGGGGUGCUUGCAGAUAAGAUGAGACGAAGCACUUCCUGCACGAUACAGGAGCUCGUGAUUGCAAUGGAGGGAAGGAAACGAAUUGGCCAUACUCGAGAAGAAUAAGGGUCAAUUCUUUGGUCAUCGUUCCAAGGCUUGUUCUGAAAGGCCACUCAUUCAAGUCAAAGUAGCUGUUUCAGUGAAAGUCAAACCUUUUUGUGGCUGAUCAGUUUUCUAUUGGAGACCCAUAUUGAUUGGCAAUUUGAGGUGCUCCUUAUCAAGAAGAUCAGAAGAAGAUGAAAGUUCCAUGCGGCAGAGGCUUUUCUGUGUAUGUAAUAACUCAUAUUGUCAGAUUGAUUGAUGGAGAUUUAGUUAUAAUCAGAUGGACACCCAGAUGGUGUGGUUUCAAAGGAAGCUAAACAAUUUUUUGCGGUGUUUUCCUUUCCCUCUAAACUAAUGGAGGAUGACUUUGUAGCGGAGUAGCAGUGUGCCAUAAGGGUUUCAACAAAUUGACAAUUCAUUGACAUCAAGAAGAGAAGAAAUUUAUUUAUUCAUUUUAAUAAAGCGGGCAGUAUCUUACAUGUCUGGAUUGAUCUUUGUGCAUGAAUGAAUUUGAGGAAUCUUGGUUUUUCUUAUUGUAGCAUGCAAAUAUCAAGGAGGGCACAAGUAGCCGGGAAGCUCUUGGCACUGAGUUGACAAUCUAUCAAUUGCAGGGGUGUAAGAAGCAUUGGAUUUGGCUUACAAGAAAACCCUUGUUGGUGCUUGAACUGCAAAGUCUACAUGCUUGUUUUGCUCCUGCAAAGAAGGCUGUUGUAUGUUGCUUCUGUCUGAAGUAUCAUCUAGCCAAUCACUUUGAACUAAGAGUAUCAUCAAAUGAACAGAACCAGAGCCCAAAGAAUGCUAUAACCAGAAAUAUGUAGAGCAACAUGGAUCACUCUAGGAGUGUCAUGUUCAUGGUGAUGAAGCUGCUGUGGUGCACUUAUCCUGUUCCAAAUUCCUGUUUUCCCAUCAGCAUGGUCAAAGUCUUAUUAUUAUGAUUGAGGGGCGGGCUACACUUGCAGGUAUCUCUGAUAACUACACUUUUGGGUGCUAAUGUUUGAUUGCUAGUCUUUGUAGUAAAUCCCACACUCAUAUUCCAGUGUCCAAUGUGACUGACCAAAGAUGGACAUCAAAGAAAGAUCUGCACGAGUGAAAGCAAAAGCCUGCUGUACACAUUGCUUUGACGAGGGCCAACCAUUCUGUCAUCUCGUAGCCAUUGUCCUCUUCCGUGUGAGAAAUGGGUGGCCUGGGAAGGGAGAACACUUUGCAAGUUGUUUCUAUCCUGCUUUAUCCUAAUUCCACAGCUGUAGCCCGCUCACAGUUCCUUUACUCAUCAGCACAGGGUUGAAGGAAUUCCAAUAAUAAGUUGCAUGAUUGGUGGGAGGAGAGAUUCAUGGCUAUCAAGAUACUUUUGGGCACAGUCUUGUCUGCCAUAUGGAAGAGCAUAAUGAUGGUAACUCUCCUCAAACCCACCACUUCAUGCUUUUGGAUGGGUUAGCAGAUGCAGUGGAUUCAUCAUGAACUUAUCAUGACAGGGCCAAUAUCAAUUUACCUAUCCUCUAUGAUUUUAGUACAAUCUGAGCACACUCCAAAAUUGUGUGAUCAGAUUAUGCCAGAGUACAACUUGAGAGCCAGCAGAAUCCAUGAAAUUAGACUCGGUUGCAGCACCAAUGACUUCCUUCCUCUUCCUGCUCCUCACAAUCACAUCCAAUCCAACAAUGAGAUCCUAAAGAAUCCUCCUAGCUAACCUUUUCCAUGGGGCAAGGCUUAAUUGGUCUGAUAUUAUAUUGAGCUAUCAAGAGCAUCAAGACCUUGCAGAAUAAUCAUUCAAUAGGUCUCACCAUUUUCUGGCCACAACAUUCAACAUCCAACACAAAGGUUUGUCCAUUGUGCAACCUUAUUAAUUACCACACCAUCAUAUUCUUUUACUUCUUCAGACAGUAUUUUUCUUUGACAGCUUUCGAGUUUAUGCUAUGGUAGCUGUGCCAAAGUAAUUAUAUGUUUGUCGGUUCACUGUAUGGUGUUCCACACGCAGGUUGUCAGUCUCAAGAACACUGUGCCUACUGUGAUUCUUCUCAAAGGAGCAGAUAAGUCCAAAGCCCCUUUGAAUUAGUCCAACUUUGACUGGGCUAAUUCAGAUUGAUCGUCCAAUUAUUUUGUCCAACACCUCAAUUGAUUACGCUGCGCAGGAUAAUGACAAGCAAUUGCCACCCCCAGUCUUUGUUGCAUCUGUAGUUGCUAUCCGAUUCUUCCCCACCAGGACAAAACUCCUCGUCUCCUCUUAUUUGUUCCUGUGGUUGUCUUCUUUGCAUCCCUCAUCCAAACCCUGUUCAAGCAGCUGUACACUGCUAUCAGGAUUUCCCUUCCCUUCCAAGCUGUGUCCUACCGAGGCAUCCCUGCUGAGUUAAAAGAGUGCAACCUGGGAUCUGAUUCAGAAACAACUUGACAGCUUUUAUCCUAUCAGAGCUGCUCCCUCCACCAGAGCGUAAGUCCUCUGUACUUGAUCUUGAUAUCAACCUCAUCUUUUGCUUUCCUUGGUUCAUUUUCUGUCAGCCUUAUAGAACAGUGCAUGAAACUUCAUCUCUGUCCAAGUAAGAACAUUCUAAUUGCAGAAACAUGCACUUGUUGCUGCUUGUUCUGAUGCUGUGAUUGCUACAGGAGUACCAGGAUGAGCAUCCCUGAACUGUUCAGGUGUCCGAUUAGCCUAGACUUGUUUGCCGAUCCAGUCACUCUCAGCACGGGGCAGACAUACGACCGAGCUAGCAUCGAGAAAUGGCUCGGCUAUGGGAAUUCAACAUGCCCGGUGACAAUGCAGAGGCUUCACGACAAGUCGCUCGUUCCCAACCACACCCUCCGGCAUUUGAUCGAACAGUGGUUUCUCACUGCCUCUGUCCACGGUGACGGUUUAGUGUUGAUGGAUCCAAUCAACAGCAUGGAUAUCUCGCUGUCUGAGCUCAAACGAAACCUCCGAUUGCCGACCUCUACCCUCACGACAAAGCUCGAGACACUCAGAAUAAUCAAGGUACUGUCGUCGGAGUCGAGCGUAAGGCAGGCCAGCCUAGUUCAGGCAGGCUUCUUCCAGUUGCUGCUCCAUGUGCUGUUCCAAGCUCCGGUCGCCCACAAUGCCGAGGUCACAGAGCUAGCUCUUGAUGGCGUUCUGAAUCUGUUGCCUUCGGCGGAUUUGGAGUCGCUAAACAUGCUGAGGAAGGAGAGCAGCUUGACUCAGCUAGUGUUCCUCUUGGACCAAAGCAAUGUUAAGAUCAAGACCGCCUUGUGCUGCUUGUUGGAGACGAUCGCUGCGUGUUCUGCGACGCAGGAGCUGUGCCUCAUGUUAGGACGGCGGCAGCGGGUUCUGCAAAUCCUGGUCUCGCUUCUGCAGCAAAAAUCGGACGCCCAGGCUUCCGAAGCCGCCGUGAGAGCAGUCUGCAGCCUGUGCUCAUCGGAAGCCAACAGAGCCACUGCGAUCAGAGAAGGCGCUGUGGACGGCCUCAUCGCUUACCUCGCGGACACGGGAUGUGCUCCGAGGUCGAGGAACCGAAGCGCCGCGCGCGCGUUGGCCACACUGGAGCUUCUUCUGGGCCUCGAGAUCGGCAAAAGGAAGAUGAACAAGAACCCAGACGCAAUCGCGACCCUGGUGAAGAUGGUGUUCCGAGUUCCCUCCGACCAACGAGGCAGUGAGCACGCCGUCGGGUCGCUGCUGCUGGUGUGCUGCGACUCCGCGACGGUGCGGAGAGAAGCCAUCGACGCCGGGGUUUUGACGAAGCUACUGCUGCUGCUGCAGAGCCAGAGCAGUGCCCAGGCCAAGACGAAGGCCAGAGCUCUGUUGAAGCUGCUUAUACCUGUAAUCAAAAAACAAGUCCUGUGAUCUCUGUGCAUACUUCUCGUGAAAUGGAAUCACGAGUUCUCCUGCAGUCGAUGAAGCCUCUGCCUCCAUCUUGGCCACUCCAAGCAGAGAUUUGUCUUCACGUUGUCUAAUUAGUUCGUUGAUGAGAUACUCCAAUGACGCUUGGACUAAUUGUCGCACCAGCCCAAUUGGUGCAUGCGGCCCAACUUGGGUUCGUGUGGGCUACGCACAAAUCCUAAAGCGCUGAUGAGAUCUUUUCACGGAUCUCAAAGCCUAUUUCUCCACUACUCAAAUUCAAACGAACGCGAGCCUGCGCGGGAUUCGUGAGGAGGAUAUAAAUUUAGAGGCGGCGACGAAGGAAGAUGCCGAAGGGCUUCGGUGCAGCACAUCGGGCCGAUGGCGAUCGUCCGCCUCAAGAAGCACUGGCAUCGUUGAUCCGGAGUGUAAGCAACCUUCUCCGCCCGUCAUCAUCUAUUCUAAUCGCUGAAUCCCAACUUCUUUCUUCUUCUUCUUCUGGAUCCAAAUACACUGUCCAUCUAGGGUUUAUAUGGUCUUUUCCCAACUCAAGAUUCCGGAUUCGCAUUUAGAUCCAUCAUCUAUUCUAAUUGCUGAAGCACUGCCUGUCUAGGGUUUUAUGGUGUUUACCCAACUCAAGAUUGAAGAAUCGAAUUCAGGUUCAUCUGUGACUAGGUCUCAUGGUUUGUAAAGCUGGUCGUCCAAUUCGAUCAUUUUCUUGGGAAGAAAGCAACGAGAAUCGAUUGCCGUCGGUACCUCGUCCUGUGUAGAUAGGGUUUUACCAAGUUUACCCAACCCAAGAAUCAAGAACUGCCUUCAGGUUUGCUCGGGAUGCGAUUCCACACUCGGAUUUGAUUUUUUUUUUUGUUUUGUUUUGUGUAUCGCAUUAAUACCUCUUGUAUUAAGUUCUUCUUAAUUUUUGAUGCAGAAAUCAGGAUUUGGAUGUGGUUUACUCAGAUAUCUUAAAAGGAUUUCUAGAGUGUUCAAGAGGUUUGAGCUUGCCUUUUGACAGUCUGUCAAUCAAUCAAAAUAUGCAUGGUGGUAAGCUUGCCCUUUUCUAUGCUAGUUUGAGAUGGUAAUUUAUGUUCUUGUUUAAGAAAUGCAACCCUUUAAACUAUGUAGAGGUAAUCUUCUGUGGUAUAAUCUUCCCAUGGCUCAUAUGGGAUGUAAUCUUUUGUUUCGUAUCGGACGAUCUGACAUAUUCAUGAACAAAAAAAAAUUUCAAUGACAGUCUAAUGCCGUAAGAAAUGUUUGUGCAUGUCUUAUUUUGUACAAUUCCAAGAAACUUUAAGAAAUGCCACAAGUCUUUGAGAAAGGAUAGGAAUUGUAUACUUUAAGAUUAUUCUGUUGUCCACCUUCAGAACUGUUCUUUUCUGAGCUAAUGUAGGUUACUAAAGGAUGUUUUGUGUAAGUUCAUUCACAGGUUCUGCCUAUUAUAUAACAUAUUUUGUUGUUUACAAGAUAAUUCAACUUCAUGCUACCUCAAUUGUCAUUGUUAAAUAUGCAAUUUUCAGUUUGAUUUAGUGAUCUUUAACUUGUCUAAAUUAAAUUUCUGCAUAUCUUUACUAAUCCUAAUGUUAAUAAUUUUUUUUUUAUAAAGAAAUAUGGUGCAAGUAAUAUCCUUCAUUUCAAUCUUAUUCCGCGAGGCAUAGAGGUUGUUGUUAUGGUUGUAGCAGUUCUCCAGUAAGAUGGAUGAUGACUGAUAGAUUUUGGACAAAGUAGAGCUUUGGAAAAUUAUCAAUCUAGAAAGUCAAUGUCCUUAAGCAAUCAGCAUGAUUAAGCGACUGAUGCAUGAAAAUACAUUUUACGGUGAAUCCUAGUAAAAGCUCUAAAAAGGGUACUUUACUUACUAAGAGAUGUUUUCAAAGUUGAAUUGUUCUUUCUUGGCAGCACAAAUGUGAUGAGAGUUUCUGAUGGCUAAUGUCUUCUUGCAGCAACUUUGCUGUUGUGUUCAUUGUAUUCAACAGCUAAGAACAAGUCUUCUCAUGCUUGCAUAAGAUCUUUCUCCAUCGCAGUUAUUAUUUGAUUAGGCAAUGUUUUACUGAUACAUCAUGGCAGAGAGGAUUCAAUUUUUUAGUUAAACAAAUAGAUUUAUUCCACAAACUUGGGAGUUGUUUUUGUUGAUAUCUGUCAGACAAGCACGAGACUGAGAACUUCUUUUGAGCUCUGUUGAAGCUCCAUUGAAGUUGGUACUAAGGCCAAACAUGAUCUGGCUAUUUAGGUCUUGGGAAGAGAGAGAGGGAAGACCACUUUUCCAUCGUAGAAAAUUGGAGACGUAGGAUAUAACAUUAGAUUAGGUUUGGGUGUUGUGCAUGUGGAUAUGUACUAUAUAUAUGACAGAUUGAACAUUGGAUAUUACAAAAAGUCAUUCCUGUAUGUCAACGAGGAACUGUUGACAUACAGGAACUACAUUGAUGAUUACUCUGCUCCCAGCUGGGACUGUUGGUGAUCGAUCUUUUCUUCUUGAGGGCUACAAGAAGAAGGAACAGGAAGGGGCGAGAGAGAACCAUGUAGUGGGAGGACACCAACUCCACUCAGAUAAUAUUUUGACCCACGGAGAAGAUACUGCCAGCCGGCGGAAGAAGUGAUGAUAAGGUUGCAUCAUUUGCUUUAGUUUAAGGUCUUUUCUUUCAGCGUGAAUCAGGGGAUCGGGGUUGGCCCCCAGAACUGGUCAGAGGCACGGCAUCACAGAUUGUAUCUUUCGACCGUUUUUUUUUUGACCGGUGGUUGGAGGAGUCAAACUCACACAACUGUGACGGCAUCCAUGCCGAUUUCUCUUCCGAAAAAAUAAAUGUCAGUUGGCUCGAAAAAGCAAUCUCACGUUUGCCGCAGCUGCAACGUUCUUAGUUACUUCUCAGCGUUUGGAUUUUUACAAUUUUUUUAAAAUUAUAUUGAUAUUUUUAUAAUUAUAACAGUAAAAUAACUAGAUUCAUUUAUCAUAAUAAUAUCAGUUUUAUCGAUAAAAAUAUAAAAAUAAAAAAAAUAAUUUUAAUAUUUAGUGACGAACGAGAACGUAGUUGGCAUCAAUGUUGAUGCAAUUAUUUGAUUGCUUUUGAUGACGAUAAGUUCUGAUCGUGACACUACCUGCUUUUACGAGGAGCAUAUCAUCAGUCAUAUCGUUGUCCACCUUAUGUUAUUUUGCAUCUGCAUUGAUACGAACAUAGUUGUCGAGUGAAAAUUACAUUAGCGUCGAUGGUGGUGGCCAUCGUUACAUCUAUGGCGAAGAUGAUGAUCGCUUCGUCGUUGACUUGUUGAGUGGAUCUUAGUCUUUAUCUAAAGCUAGGGUCAUCGGAGCUCCUACCAUCAAUUCUGACACCAUCACUUGUUGCUCCUUAUUUGUGUCGAUAUUGACGUAGUUGCCAAGUAACAUAAGGGUCGCUUAACGUUUACAUCAGCAUUGACGUAGAUGCAGCACACCGUCACUCAACAUUUGUAUUGAUAUCAAUAUAGAUGUAAAGUGAUGGAAGGGCCACUGAAUCCAUCUUAUAGGUCAACAGUGAAUUGUAGACAUCGUGACGACCACUACCAUCAAGUAACUGUGUGGGCGUCGACACAACUACAAAGUGACACGAGACAGCGACGAUAAGGUUAACGAUAUGCUUCUAGUAGAGACGGGUGGUGUCACGAAAAGAAUAGAUCUUAUUGUCAUCAAAUGCAGCCCGUCGUCUGCCACCCCUCACGUCAUCUUUUAAAUGUCAGUAUAUAUAUUUUUUAAAGUAUAAAAACCAAAACGAUAAAAUUAACUAGGUACAAUUAGCCCGAGUUGGUAACUUCAGCACCGAGAUGCUGAGCUAAUUGUGAAUGCAAAGGUUUCCGCUUAAUGCUACAAAGGUUUCCACUCUUCUUGCUGAGCUGCAUACUGGCAGUGUCCCAUCAGAUACAUUCACCCAACCAAAGAUGUCAAAUUCAAUUCAGAUAUCAUAUCACCAAGAAGACAAAAGUGUCGACUUAAAUGUUCUACAAUAGACGUCUUUUAUUAUCAAGUAGCAGUUCAGGACACAAACCAGCACUAUAAUUAUUGGCCCCCUCCCUUUGCCAAGCGUUGCAUCAUUAAACAUCGAAUAAGUACAUAAAAUAGAUGUAGCAUGCGACUUCCCAUUAACAUCCAUGCUGAAAUAAAUGCUGCUGCCGGCAGACAACCGUCCCCCAUGAAGUUCGAAUGUCAGCUUUUGGUAAUACACCAUGAGAAGCCGAAAGAGAAUAGAGGCGGCUUUCGUGGAAGAGAAGGAUGAUAGACUGCCUGAUAGGAACAGUAGCUGUGUUGUCUAUAGCCAUGAGAAGCUCUGAGUGACACUCACUUUUGGUAAAUCUGGUGAACACCGAAAUAGAUACCACGAAAUAAAUUGCAGUGUUUCAACUUCCACCAGAUUCCAGAGAGAGACACUAGUAAGAAAUAAGUUGUACUAUGGUUGAAGAACCAAAACAAAUCAGGGAAGCGCUGCAAAAUUUACUGAUGAGCAUCUCUUCUAAGGCAGAACUCACAAGUAGUGUGAAUCCAUUUUCUUUUCUUGACAUCGUCCUUUCAGUAAAUAUUGGCCCAUAGCUAUAACAAACACUUGGCUUUUGAUGCUUGAAACCCAUAUAGACAAAAGGGGCCACAGGAAUUUAGCUGGAGAGUGUUCUUGCAAGUGAUGAUAAAUACUCAGAAAGAGGAUCGUUCAAGUGGGGGCACAAAUUCACCAAAAUCUCCAAUCUGAUCGAUAAUUCCAGAACCAAAAAACUUUAAUUACAACUACUUAAAAAAACCCUAAAAAUAGUAAUUAUAGAAAAACAAUUGCAUCAGAAAAAGAAAAUAGAAAGAAAAAAUAUACCUGCAUGCCCGGUAACCAAUGUUGGCUUGUUGUAUCAGGUCCUGUAUGAGGAAGACCAUGCAUGCCACCAUAAACAUCAUUAUCAAAGUAAGGGAUUGGAUCAAGGAUGUGAUUCAGAUUCUCCAAAUCGGGCCAAUGACCAGAUGGGUUUGGGGCAAAUGGAGUACUUGGCUCGACAGACACAUAGGGAUUUCCAUCCCCAAUAAGAUCAUUCAGCUCAACAUACUGUUUACUAUCAAGUUCUUGUAGCGUAGGACACAAGGCAGUUUCAUUGAGAAUGUUUUCAAUUAGAUCGAUAUUGCCAGAAAUCAAUUCCCCAGUAGAGAGAUCGUCUAAUUCAUUAUAUACUCCUUCAGGGUCCAUAGCUGCAGCUUCAUUAACAUUCAUGCUAGGAAUGGUUAAAUCAGGCAUCUGCAAAGGAGACCACCAAAGACGCAUCACAUACAACGUAACUAAUCAUGCAUUUGCAUCAAAAAGUUCAGAAGAGAUGUGAACCAUGAGUACCUUGCCAUCAGCAUUCUCUACGAGUGGAGAGCUAUUAAGAAACUCUGCCAACUCCUCCAACGAUAUUCCAUCAACAUCAAGAAGAUCAUGAUCGGAAAGUAACUCAACAGCACUGGAAGCUAUAGGCUGUUUGCUAACUGGAUCCGCCUGUAUAGCUUGGUUAUCUAAUGGUUCUGCACUCAGGCAAGAAGAUACACAAGGAAGAGGAAAGGAACUCUCAAUGGCCGUGUCAUCCUCCCAGUCCUCUUCGUUAAAUGGCGCACCAUAUUGCUCCCCAAUUCUAGGACCCAGACCACUCUUUUGGAAUACUUUGCAGAGUAAGUAAGCGUCCUGUAUUGUAUAACAAGGAAAGUCUAGUAAGUAAAUUGUAAACUAAUUAAGUACAACAAGAUCAAUAGCUUUUGCAAAAGAAAAGGUCAAAUUGAAUGCAGCAUCCUUGCAGUGAUAUCGAACAAGAAGUAAUUGUAAGAAAAGAAAAAACAUCCCCAUAAAUUAGCAUAGCUAUGGUGACUUCCAAUUGAACGGCAUACUGUUUGAUAGUGGCUCCUUCAACCUACUUUUAGUUUUUAUAAGGCUACUUUGAAAAAAAUCUUUCAUGGAAUGCAGACUCAUGACAGGCCAAGCAGUCCCGGUGGAUAGUUAUGCCCUAUGGUCUAUAGGUGCCAAGCCAAAAGAAUUAAGUGCCCAGGUGAUUAACAGGAAGAAGGAACAAUAAAGCAGGUAAAAAUACAACUAAGCAACCAAUACAAUAAAGACACUGUAUGCAUAAAAUACUAUCCCCCGAGGACAUUUUAGAAAUGCAGUAACAAAGAUCAUACAUAACACCUUUAAAUAAGUAUCGGAAGCAAGCUUAACCUGUGCGAAUCCAGCAUCAACCAAUUCCCUGCUCUGUAGUCGGUAUUCAUACAUCACCCAGUUAGUCCUUGUCCCCUUUGGUGGUUUCCCCUCGUGAAAAACUAGAGUCCUUCUCAUACCAACCGUACAAGAGUUGUGAAUGACAGAUUUGUCUUUUCCAGUAGCCUUCCAAUAACCACCAUCAGUUGCUCGAUUUGAUCGAGAGCCAUUUG
rnacentral:lncRNA from 1 species